CCGGCGCUAGUGGCGGUCGACAUGCGCCCCGCGCGGCGCGGGGAGCGGCUGUUCAAGCUGGCCGCGUCGGCC
rnacentral:tRNA from 1 species